CCUACGGGUGGCAGCAGUGAGGAAUAUUGGUCAAUGGGCGAGAGCCUGAACCAGCCAAGUCGCGUGAAGGAUGAAGGAUCUAUGGUUUGUAAACUUCUUUUAUAUGGGAAUAAAGUGAGGAACGUGUUCCUUUUUGUAUGUACCAUAUGAAUAAGCAUCGGCUAACUCCGUGCCAGCAGCCGCGGUAAUACGGAGGAUGCGAGCGUUAUCCGGAUUAUUGGGUUUAAAGGGUGCGUAGGUGGUUAAUUAAGUCAGCGGUGAAAGUUUGUGGCUCAACCAUAAAAUUGCCGUUGAAACUGGUUGGCUUGAGUCUACGUGAGGUAGGCGGAAUGCGUGGUGUAGCGGUGAAAUGCAUAGAUAUCACGCAGAACCCCGAUUGCGAAGGCAGCUUACUGAACUAGAACUGACACUGAAGCACGAAAGCGUGGGUAUCGAACAGGAUUAGAUACCCGUGUAGUC
rnacentral:rRNA from 1 species